AGUCGUAACAAGGUAUCCGUAGGUGAACCUGCGGAUGGAUCAUUAACAAAGGUGUUUUUGAAGUUGUGUGAACAGUUGGAGGAGGUGGUGGUGGUGGUGGUACUGGGUGGUAUUGGGUGGUAUUGGGUGGUAUUGAGUGGUGUAACCUUGGUCUAACCUUGGUCAACCUCACUCAACCUCACUCAACCUCACUCUCCCAACCUCACUCUCCAAACCUCCACCACUCCGUCCCUAUAAUGUAUACAAACUGAUGUCUGCUAGUUUCAAACUAAAACAACUUUUAGCAACGGAUCUCUUGGCUCUC
rnacentral:misc_RNA from 1 species